rnacentral:other from 1 species
GAACUUCUUACAGCAAUUAAAACAUUCAAUUAAUGGAAAACCUCAGGUUCUG